rnacentral:rRNA from 1 species
AGGUGGUGCAUGGUUGUCGUCAGCUCGUGUCGUGAGAUGUUGGGUUACGUCCCGCAACGAGCGCAACCCCUAUUGUUAGUUGCCAUCAUUCAGUUGGGCACUCUAGCGAGACUGCCGGUAAUAACCGGAGGAAGUGGGAUGACGUCAAAUCAUCAUGCCCCUUAUGACCUGGGCUACACACGUGCUACAAUGGUUGGUACAACGAGUUGCGAGUCGGUGACGGCGAGCUAAUCUCUUAAAGCCAAUCUCAGUUCGGAUUGUAGGCUGCAACUCGCCUACAUGAAGUCGGAAUCGCUAGUAAUCGCGGAUCAGCACGCCGCGGUGAAUACGUUCCCGGGCCUU